GCUCGCUAUGCCCCUACUUAUACAUCCCAAAAUGCCAUUGGCCUUCUUGGCAACAAGGGCACACUGCUGACUCAUAUCCAGCUUCUCGUCUACUGUCACCCCUAGGUCCUUUGCUUUAUACUGCUUUGCUUUAUGACUGUUCUGGAGCUAGAUUUAGUAAAUCUGACCUGACUCUGCCCACACAAGUUUACAAUAUAUAGGUAUGAGUGGGUACAAUACAUUGCAAACAAUAUGGGCAAGUAUGACCUAGAUAGGCAAAGAUUUUCUCUACUACAUAUCCAGUAUUAGGGCCACUGGAAAAGCACAAGUCUAAGUUCCAGAUAAGUUUAAUUUAAAAAAAAAAAAGUAGGUUAAAUCAGAUGCCUGGUUGAUGCUGGCUUUAACAGUUACAGCAAAGCAAGUCAUUUCUAUUUUUUUCUAUAAACACAGCAUUGAUUCAUAGUUGGGCUUCCAGAUGUAGCUUAAAGUCAACGAAACCCUAGUAAAGCAGAAAAAUAGAAUAGUGUAUUUUUAUAAAAAUACACUGUUAUCAAACAUACCUGAUAAUGUAUAGUUCUCACAAUGUUAAAACUUGUGAAGUUUGAAAACUCAAGAUCAAUUAAUACAGAGCUCACUGGGAGAUCAGUCCUAGAAAUGCAAAGGGGAGCAAUAUUUUUGUCUGACUUAUGGAAAAAUCUUUUUACAACAUUGAGAUAAAAAUGAAUUUUUACUGCUAAAUGAGCCAUCUUUUCCUGAAAGAU